UUUUUUUUUUUUUUUUUUUUUUGUUAUAGAAGAAAUGAGGUUUAUCAAAUAGAUUGCUAGAAAUUAUUCAAACACAUUUUAUUGGACAAAAUUUGGAGGAGAAUUUCGAAAGACUUAAGGAGAUUGGUGAAUUUUGCAUUCUGACCUAAGUUAAGUUAUGCACAACCUUAUUGGUUUUUUUUUUUUUUUAGUAAUCCAAUUUACAUUAAUAAAUAUGUUGAUCUAAUAUAUCAAACAAAGCGGUUGUUAAUUAAGAUGGAUAAUAAGUUGGCAAUUACCCUAAACAAUUACAAGUUCUAGCAAAGCCGAUCAACCUUCCUAUCAAUUUAUCCAUCUUAAUUAUUCAUUUCUAUCUUCACAAUUGUUGAAUAUUAAAUUGCAUAUAAAUAACAAGCGUUCCAUGAAUUCCUUAUCUGUUGUUGAGGUCAACAGUAAUUAAUCCUAUCAAAGCAACUAACGUAACUAUAUAUUAAAAUAAAAAAAGUUUGAAUGGAAGAAAAUAGUCUGCUGGUUAAAUGGCUCCAAUUUGUUAAUUGACCAUCAAUAAUCAGAAUUAUCAGCUAUUACUUUUGCAUAUAGCUUGACCUUGGAGUGAUUGCAUGACAAUAAUAGAUCGGAUGAACUUGACAUAUAUAAGCUUGUCUUAUUGAUUAAACAGGUUUUUGGGUCAAUUAACGAGUUGGGAUUACAUUUUAACCCAAAACUCUUGCCUUAUAAAUGUCAAUUAAGGGUGCUUUCAAAAUAUUUAGGGAGAAUUUACAUGUUCAUUAUCAAAAUUAAUAACUUCAGAAGUGAAAGAAAGAAACUAGUUAGUCUUCUUCUUUGUCUUGAUGGACCGAUGCAGCUUUGAUAGUCUUAUUUGUUUGUAUUUUCUAACUAUUGCCAGAAACAAGUCGGACCUACCUUAUUCUACAGCUGGCAUCUUGUGGAAUGCUGCCGCUCAGAAAAACAAAUUUUUUUUUUUUAAAAAAGUGGAAUCUAGAAAAUUCUUGAAACUUCACAUAGAAUUUUGUCAUGGCACCAGAAAAAAUACAAAUAGAAACCCCACAUAGAGGUUUCUGUGCGUGGCACAUAUCAAAGUGGUCAAAAAUCAUUUUCUAUGGUAUAGACCUAUGAUACGUGGAAUAUGCAGAGAAUCAGGAGGUAGUGUAAAACAUUUUCUUGGGUUAUAAUUCACUGGACAAUUAAGAGCCCAUUUCGAUUGUAUUUUUUUGGAAAAUUUUUGAAGAAAAAUUACAGUGAGUACCAGUGGCGGAGCCACAUGGAAGCAAGCGGAGUCAAUUGACCCCACUUAACUUUGAAAAAAAAUUAGGAUGUGUUUGGAUUGCAUUUUCCGUCAUUUUUCAUGGAAAAAAUACUGUAGCGAUUUGAUAUAUGUGAGGGAAAAAGGUGAUAGGAAAAUGUGAUCACGGAAAACGACAAUAUUUUCCGACGGAAACAAACAAUCCAAACAUAGUUUUUAGGGUUAGAAAAUUUUAAAGUCACAUUUUAUUUGACCUCAUUAAAUUUUAACAAAUUCUCUUUUCUAUAUAUAUUGACCACCAAACGAUUGAAAAUUCAUAAUUGUUACUAUCACAUGAAUUUUGAAUUUAUUUCAAAUUAUUUAUGAAAGUUAUUUCAAGAAUAAAUUCUUCCAAAUUUUCCAAAAACAAGGAAUAAGCUUUCUUGAGUGGAGUGGUAAAGCCAAUUCUUUCUAAUGCACACUUCCAAAUAGGGAUGGCAACGGGGCGGGGGACCCCUCCCCCAUCUCUCGCCCCGCUGCCUACAAACUCCUCCCGCCCCCGCCCCAUCCCCCGUCCCCCGCUCCCCCCGCCCCGUCCCGCUUCCCUCGCGGGGCUAAUAAAAAUUUGUUAUAUAAUUUUAUUAUAGUUAAAUUUUAGCAAAUAAUCAAGUACUAAAAUAUUAACAUAUCAUCAAAUUAUUAUUCAUUGUAAUUUGAUAAUUGAAACUUAUAAAAACAAUCAAACAAAAAUUAUUUGAAUACAAUCCAACAUGAUGAAAUAAAUAUAACUAAAGUAGUCAAGUUUUCACUUUUGGUACAAAUACAAUCACUAAUUCAUUACUGUGCUUGUGCUUUUUUUAAGAAAAAAAAAUAUUAUUGUAUUAAGUGUAAUUAGGGAUUUAGUAUAAAUGUAUUAGUAAAUUUAGUAUAACCAAUUAAUAAUUUGUAUUAGUACACAUAUAUAAUUAUUAGUAUAAUUAAUAAUAUCAAUUAUAUUAUAUAUACUAAUAGACAUCAUAUAAUACAUAUAACUAAUAAUAUCAUUAUCAUAAGUUUGUAACUAAUUAAAUUAUAUAUUAUAUAUAAUUAUAUACCUAUAUAUAUUUUAUAUAUUUAUUUUUUUAAAUCGGGUGGCGGGGUGGGGGUUGGGGCAGGGGUACACUCCCCCACCCCCGUCCCGUUUCUAAGCCGGGGGGGGGGGGGAAUUCCCCCUGCCCCCGCCCCAACCCCCUCCCCAUUAGCCCCCCGCGGGGCGGGUGCCCGCGGUCGCCUGCCCCCAUUGCCAUCCCUACUCUCAAAGUUUCCAAAAACAAGGAAUAAACUUUCUUGAAUGAAGUGGUAAAACCAAUUUAAAAGUUUUCAAAAACAAGAAAUUUUCAAGUGGAUGCUAAAUUUUCUAUUUAUGUUAUGAAGUUAGGUUAUUAUGAUUUUUAUUUAUAACAGACUAAAGAUAAGUUUCUUAAAAGAAACCCUUAGAAGAUCAAGUUGAUGAUAGUUCGCAAAAUGUUUAAAAGAAAACAUCAAGAACUUCAUUUACUCACAUUGAAAAUGAUGUAUUUAACAAAAUUGAUAAUUAAUUGAUUUUGCAAUGUUUUUAUAAGAUGAGUACUUGUAGGUCAAUGAAAAUUGAUAUUAUUAAAAAAAAAUAGAGUACUUAUAGGGUACAAUUAUAAAUGUUUUGCAAAUUUAUUAUUUUUAGUACAUGUUUAACCUAUCAUUAGGAUAGUAUUGUAAAUCAAAUCAUACUGGAUGAUUUCUAGCAAUUUGUCAAUGAAACUUUCUUUUUAUCCCCAAAAAAAAUCUGUAAGGAUUUUUUACUUUUUAUUCUUAUAUUUUGAUUUUUGCUUUGUAAAAGUUUUAAUGUAUUAUAAAAAAAAUAAGUUUUUUGUACUAAUGUAUUAUAAAAUAAGUUUAAUGUAAGGAUUUUUUACUUUUUAUUCUUAUAUUUUGAUUUUUGCUUUGUAAAAGUUUUAAUGUAUUAUAAAAAAAAUAAGUAUUUUGUACUAAAAUUUGACCCCACUUACUAUGGAGUCUUGGCUCCACCACUGAUUGUAACAUUUUUUUUAUAUAAAUAUGAUGUAUAUAAGAUAAAAAGAUAUAUGGCUCAAAAAGAUGAAAAAAAGUUUUUCAAUUUUUCACGAGGCAAUAGUAAGGGAGGUGGAAGAAUACAGACGCAUUUUCGUCUACUUUCAAUCUUCAGUUUCGGUUUAUUUAUUAUUGUUUCGAUUGGAAUCGGAUGUAGCUUCAGUAGUCAGACUAAUCUUGUGCAAAGCGCUGGAAAAAGAAUGGUGCAAUGUCCGAAUACAACUCCAAAACAAGGAAGUGCUGAGACAAAUCAAGCAUGGUAAAUCAUCGAAUGGCAGACUGGCAACGAUCCUAGAGGAUAUCUUUUGCUUAAUGUCAUUGUUUCGAAUGUGCUCUUUUUACUAGAUAGUAAUGAUAAUAGUAACACUAUUGCUAAUGUUAGCUCAUAUGCCUUAGGCAUUUUGAUGGAUGAGGAAGGAUCUUUUCCUCUGUGUUGCUGAACACAAGUUGUACAGCUUGACGAGCCGUUGCUCGAAUUGUAAAGUCAUCUUUUAGAUCAAUACAAGUAAUCUAACGUUUCGAGAAAAAAAAAAGUGAUAGUGCCCAAAUUGGGGGAUAAUGAGUUUUGGGUAAUAGAAGACCCAAAAGUGGGUGCUGAACAAACUCAUAGUAGUACAUCAAACAAUAUCAGUAGGUGUCAUUACCCUCUCAAUUCCACUGAGGAGUUAAAAACAAAAAAAAAACCCAACCAAUUGGGUGGUUAGAACAACUAGCAAAAGUCACAAACAUGUUAUAUUAAUUACAACUUGGUGCAUUAAGUACAAAAGAAAGUCAAACAACACGUGCUUCGACGUAGACUAAUUUUAGCACACUUCAUUGUGAUUAACUACCGUCGCACAUCAAAGAAGUUAACUUUCUCCCUACAUAAGUUGGCUCAAUUAGCAAGCACAUAUCACUUUUUCCAAAAGAUAGUAUGUUCAAAUCCCAUCGAUGUGAGAGCUGUGUUAGUGGACGAUCUAUAAAAAUCUCUAUAAGUGAUCUAUUAUCAUGGAUUACUUAAUUUCCUAUAAGCACACACGCCGUGCGAAACUAGCAUGGCAUUCAAGAGUUUUACAAAUGCAAUACAAGUUUUUCUUAGUCUCCGAUACAACUAGCAUGACAAGUUGCUCAUUAUUAUACUAUAACUAGUCCAUCAUAUGUUACAUCACACAUUCUUAUUCUAGUAAGACUAGGGAAUUACUUUCCGUGCGAGGCGUGGGAGUGAUAGACUUGUUGAGAAGGCAAAUUUGUCUGUUGAUUGUGUAGUGAAUAUUUUCUAUUGAAUCAUAUCUUUAGGCUAACAUUUUAUACCGAAUAAUAACUAUAGCAAUGCGAUGCGAUGCGAAGACACACUAAAAGCCAUAAAUCAAUAUAUCAUGAUGUAUGCUCCAUAGAGAGUCAUAGAUUACAAAUACACAGAACUCGAUACUUAACCUAAUAUAGGAUACUUGGUAUAUUGAUGCAGAAAAAUGAAAAUAAACAUCGUCAGUGAGUUGAUUAACCAAAGUCCAAGUUAAAUGGACUUGCCUACAAUAAACCAAAUACACAAUUUGAACACUUAAAAUAAGACAUAAAUAGGGAAUAU
rnacentral:lncRNA from 1 species